rnacentral:rRNA from 1 species
ACGCUCGACACCUACGGGAGCAGCAGUGAGGAAUAUUGGUCAAUGGGCGCUAGCCUGAACCAGCCAAGUAGCGUGAAGGAUGAAGGCUCUAUGGGUCGUAAACUUCUUUUAUAUAAGAAUAAAGUGCAGUAUGUAUACUGUUUUGUAUGUAUUAUAUGAAUAAGGAUCGGCUAACUCCGUGCCACAGCCGCGGUAAUCUGAGCGGGCUGGCAAGGC